GGAUCAGUGUGUCACGAGCAGAGGAAGAGGACGGUUCCUUUCUUCGGCGCUCCGCGCCACUCCGUGCCCUUGGCUCGCCGGCGUCCCCGCCGGCCGCGUCGGCCGUCGCUGCCGCGUUCCUCUUCCUUCGUGGGACGUCGCUAGGCACGACACAUCAAUGACGACGAGAUGAGCCAGUAACCAAAACUCAAGAUCAUCAAGGGCACUCUUGAAAGGGGUGCAGCCCCUUCACAGGGAUUCAUCAACUACUUUUCUAACACGUACAGGAUGGCUGGCUUCAAGCUAACCCGAAAAGCCGACACCAGCUUCAAGAUCGAAGUCGACAACGUUGGCAACAUAAACAGCACGAUCGAGAAUGUCAACCCGGCCCCGCUAGCUGUCGAGGAUGACGAUGAUGAUGAUGUCGAAUGCAACUGCUUGGAGUGCGAACCCAACAUGGUCACCACCAUUGAGGCAGACAAGGUGGAGGUAAAGCAGCAGGGAUUCGUCAUCAAGAUCUCUGUCGUUGAAACCUUCGUCAACGCCGUCCUGAAGAUAAUAAACUACGUGCUGGACAAGUACGAGGAGUACGUCAAGAGUGAGAAGGAAAAGCAAGCGGCGACACAAACUUCGCCGGAUGACUCGUCCCCGCCGUCCCCACCAGCAGCUGGCGCGGCGGCGGUAGUGUCUAAGUGAGAGCCCAAUUGCCUGGAUUGCGACCCGAACAUGGUCACGACCAUGGAGGCUGACUAGGUCGAAAUUAAGCAGCAAGGUUUUAUAAUCAAAAUAUCCGUCCUGGAAUCGUUCGUCAGCUCAGUGCUGAGGCUCAUCAAUUACCUGCUGGACAAGUAUGAUGAGUACAUCAAGGGCGAAAAAGAAAAGCAAGAGGCCACGCAGAAGUCACCUGAUGACUCGUCUCCGCCGUCCCUACCAGCAGCUGGCACGGAGGCGGCAGUAUCUCUUUGAGCGGUUACGGACACCGGCGGUGGCAGCGGCAGCAGCGGCGGCGGCGGCGGCGGCGGACGACUACGGCGCCAUAAACGGCCCUUGUGAUCUCAUAACAGCUUUCGCUGUAAAAAUAGCUUCUGUACGGUGGGCAAAGAUUGCUGGCAUGUCUCUCCCAUGCCAGGCAGGGGGAAUGUCUGUGGACGAGGAGGGUGUGCACGAUGAAAGCCGUUUCUCUACCCCACUCAUCGACUCUUCAGUGGGAGGAGAUCGAGAAUGAGGGGAGAGCUCAGCUGAAUGCUUCAUGUGGUGAAGGUUUGAGGAACUAGCCCCUCAUGAGCCCGAACAACUGACCAUGAACAUUGACGGGGAAUAGGAUGAGCUAUGGGCUAUAAAUAGUCGAUUUCAUAGUAAGGCAAGGACCAGGACCGUGACCGACGAUCGAGAAGGUUUCAGCAAAGAUUAAACGGCACAGUAAUGGGAGGCGUAAUUCCACGUGAAGUUCCACAUUAUUGAAA